rnacentral:rRNA from 1 species
AGGAUGAACGCUGGCGGCGUGCCUAAUACAUGCAAGUCGAGCGCCCUGCACAUUGCCCAUUAACAGAGUUAGUGAGCAGCGUGUAGGGAGCGGCGGACGGCUGAGUAACACGUAGGAACGUACCCCAAACUGAGGGAUAAGCACCAGAAAUGGUGUCUAAUACCGCAUGUGAUCUUCGGAUUAAAGCUUCGGCGGUUUGGGAACGGCCUGCGCAUGAUUAGCUUGUUGGUGAGGUAAUGGCUCACCAAGGCAGUGAUCAUUAGCUGGUCUGAGAGGAUGACCAGCCAGACUGGGACUGGAGAACGGCCCAGACUCCGUACGGGAGGCAGCAGUAGGGAAUCUUCCACAAGUGGGC